rnacentral:rRNA from 1 species
AUUAAACGCUGGCGGCAUGCCUUACACAUGCAAGUCGAACGGUAGCGCGGGGCAACCUGGCGACGAGUGGCGAACGGGUGAGUAAAGCAUCGGAACGUGCCCUGGAAUGGGGGAUAACGUAGCGAAAGUUACGCUAAUACCGCAUAUUCUGUGAGCAGGAAAGCAGGGGAUCGCAAGACCUUGCGUUCUGGGAGCGGCCGAUGUCGGAUUAGCUAGUUGGUGGGGUAAAAGCCUACCAAGGCGACGAUCCGUAGCGGGUCUGAGAGGAUGAUCCGCCACACUGGGACUGAGACACGGCCCCAGACUCCUACGGGAGGCAGCAGUGGGGGAAUUUUUGGACAAUGGGCGGGAAGGACCGUGUAUCCAGCCAUGCCGCCGUGAGUGAAGAAGG